rnacentral:rRNA from 1 species
AAAAAAAAACACGUGAGUAACCUGCCCUUGACUUUGGGAUAACUUCAAGAAACUGGGGCUAAUACCGGAUAGGAGCUCCUACUGCAUGUUGGGGUUUGGCAAUUUUCGGCGGUUGGGGAUGUACUCGCGUCUUAUCAGCUGGUUGGUGGGGUAGUGGCUUACAAAGGCUUUGCCGGGUAGACGGCCUGAGAGGGUGACCGGAGACAUGGGGACUGAGAUAAGGCCCAGACUUGUACGGGAGGAAGCAGUGGGGAAUAUUGAACAAUGGGCGGAAGCCUGAUGCAGCAAUUUUGUUUUUGUUAAGGAUCCCGCGGCCACCGAAAUCUACACUCGUU